rnacentral:rRNA from 1 species
CCUACGGGUGGCUGCAGUGAGGAAUAUUGGUCAAUGGGCGCAAGCCUGAACCAGCCAAGUCGCGUGAGGGAAGACGGCCCUACGGGUUGUAAACCUCUUUUGCCGGGGAGCAAGCCUGAGCACGUGUGCCCAGGCGGAGAGUACCCGGAGAAAAAGCAUCGGCUAACUCCGUGCCAGCAGCCGCGGUAAUACGGAGGAUGCGAGCGUUAUCCGGAUUUAUUGGGUUUAAAGGGUGCGCAGGCGGGCUGUUAAGCCGGCGGUAAAAAUUCAGGGCUCAACCCUGUCGAGCCGUCGGAACUGGCAGUCUUGAGUGGGCGAGAAGUAUGCGGAAUGUAUGGUGUAGCGGUGAAAUGCUUAGAGAUCAUACAGAACACCGAUUGCGAAGGCAGCUUACCAAUCUAUAUCUGACGUUGAGGCACGAAAGCGUGGGGAGCAAACAGGAUUAGAUACCCGAGUAGUC